GGGGUUUCGGCCCGGGGGCUGCGGCCGCCGGGUCUGAAAGUUAGCUACCUGGUUGAUUCUGCCAGAGUCAUAUGCUGUCUCAAAGAUAAGCCAUG
rnacentral:rRNA from 1 species